ACAAAACCAGAAGAGAAAUUUUCUUCGUUAUUAGCGGCAGAUUGAUUGGGCUGGAUUGCUCAGCUAGAAUCGUCUUUGGCUGAUUAAAUUCAUGGUUUGAGCCACUAAAUAGGAGAGCUCCCAUCCCAUGGAAUUCUCUGUUGUGAUGCUAUCCAGUCACAUUUUAACCUUCGCAUUAGGGCCCGUGGCGUUAUUCAACGAUGCUAUGCCCACUUCGGUUCCCUGAUGAUAACCGCCUUCGCAGUUGCAGACCAAUAUGUUGCAACAUCCAACCCCGGAGUACGGAGUUCAGCUGUUCCAUCCAGACAACAGCAAUCGGUUUGCUUGUAGCAACAAUCGGCAUCCACCAGUCCACACGUCAUCGCAAGAAUAGCGAAAACAACAGAGAUGCCGCACGUAACUGUUGUCUUUGACAAGUUUCAAUCUGUGAGAUCAUAAGUUGAACAAUCAAUCAACAUUUAACAAAAUAAUUUAAUUUCCAACUAUUGGUUUCUAAAAUUCUGAUCUGAAUUUAAUGCCACUUGUUUUACGUACGUUAUAAGUCUAUUAGCUGAACAUCUACCUUAAUAAUUAUUGUAUUGAAGCCUUUUUGUGAGAGCAUUCUAGGUCACUUCAUGAACAGGGAAGUCAAAUGAACCUUUUUACAUUGCGACUCUUUGUAACUGUGAAUCCAAGGAUCGUAGUGGAUGCGGUAAACUUGUAUUGCUUUCCCGAAGGUUGCCGAUGAUUCCGUUCAUCCAUCAUCUAUUCAUCUUAAACAAAUGGAAAAUUAAGGUGCUGCAAGGACAAAAUUUGAUUGAAUGAUGAAGCAGGCAGAAGCCCAGAUCUUUCUUUCUAUGCUUCCAAACGGGCAGCGAAUUUCUCGUUCUUGCAUCGUCAAUCGAACGCGGGACACGGUACACCUUGGUUCGUUUUCCAAUGCCAAGAUUAGUUUUUUGUUUUCAUCCUACAUUUUCUUCGGCUAUUCUUCGUGAUUUUUCGAUUAGCGAGUAGCCCGUCUAAAUGAUCGUCUAUUAGCUUGCGUUCGCUGUGGCCUGGAGCCGUUUUUGUCUAUCCGACGAUUUAUUUGUUUCUUCCCUGUUUUAUUAAAUCGUGGCAAAUUACUGUAAGAAAUGGACAAGCUGAAGAAAUUUCCACGCUUGUUGUAGAAAUGGGCAUCCCAUCAACAGCCUCUGUAUCUUUCAGCUGGAACCAAUGAGCAAGUCGAGCUUCUUGUAGCGCCUUUCUCGCCUCCUGCUGAGCCUUCAUCUUCUUUGCCCCUCUGGAAUUUAAUACUCAGCUGUUCCGCCGAAACGAUGGACGCCUGGAAACGAUGGCAAUGGAGUUGUUCUUCAGGGACGUUACAAGGACAUGCACGGUCCCACACAAUCUCUUGUGACUGGACAAGGAGUCCUUCAUCAGCAGAUUUGAUGUCAAUCCUAUUAUACGGAAUCAAUGGGAAAUCGUUCAGUGAAGCUUUGGGACGACAGUUAGGAAGGAGGUAACAGGCCAAAUCCGGAAGAGGAUCAGCAGGGCUCUCCUUUUUAAACGGCUUUCCGUGAUUUCUGACCGGAAUUCGCGAAUGGGAUCCAAAUUUGUAUGCAAUUGCGUUUGUGACGGUCGCCACAGGAAGAGGCUUUGGUGAUGGAAACAGGGGUAUUUUCACCCGAUGGAUGGAUGGAUGGAUGGAUGGAUGGAUGGAUGGAUGGAUGGAUGGAUGAUUGGAUGGAUGGAUGGAUGGAUGGAUGGAUGGAUGGAUGGAUAUCAAAUGGAAUAGGAAAUCUUGAUAAAAAGAUGCUCUGAAAACUGCAUAAAAAUGAUGACUGCAUAAAAAGAUGCUGCUGCUCGUAACUGAUAACAUAAUUCUAGUUCUCUAUAAAUUAUUUUCUUGUCAUAUUUUGUAACUAAUUGAUCAGAUGUUUUUUGUCACUGAUCCUGUCACGGACCAACGUAAAAACGAUUUUGAAACUUGCGCGGGUUUAUUUUCGUGUUUCUAAAAAUCAACCAUAGAUGACGCGGCGACAACAACAAAACAGAUCGUUCCAAAUUAGAAAGUAGUCUACCUCUCUACCAUGAAAGUUUUAAUAGAGUCGAAAAGCAAUAAAUUUGGCAUCACUGUUGGAGUGUUUUACAUUUACGGGCAGAAGAAAACAUAAGGUCAUUUAACGUGGUGAUCUUGACUUGUUGCGUUUUCAUGGUCGUGACAAUUCUUUGUGCUGGCGUUUUCUGUCUCAUUGUGACAGUCAUGUGUCUUAUCAGUUGCUGCAUUAAUUGUGAAAAAAAAAAUGUGUGAACUACGUCGUCGAUGGAUUGGUGCUGAACAGUCUGGACAAGCCUAAUGCUCCUUCACUUAGUGCACCAUGUUCGUUUUUAUUAACAAGUGAAAAUAGUAAACGAAAUGACAAAACGAUCAGCUGAUUGCCAUUCCGUGGUAUUGAUGUGUGCUGUGUUUAAAUAAAAGAAAUUCUCUAUUCCACUUCCAGGUGAGUCUUUAGACAUUUCAUCUCUUUUGUUUGCAUGUGUAAUUGCACUGUGAGUAUAGGGAAAUCCCUGAAACCUUGACGACUCCCCGUCUUUCGGCUGUGAGAUUUGUUAUUGCAAUCGUUUCCGUUUUCCUUUAAUUUUUGAAGAUGCCAACUCCCCUAAAAUGUAGUAAAACAAUGCAUUUGAUGAAUCGUUGCUCAGAUACGACUAUCAUACCCGCCUUUAUUUUGUAUAUGUAUUUGCUUUUAUUGUCAUCUUUCCAUAUUUUGGCGCCAUUUUUGCUGCGAUUGCACUAAGAGUGGGAGGCCAUUGUUAACGUCCUAUUCCUUGAUCUUACCAACUCGUGCGACAAGACCAAAAUUCACAUUUGUCGUUGUGUUAUUUUUCUUUUCAAUCGAAAGCUUUGUUCAUUUAGCGUUACCAGUGUUUAUUAGGACAAACCAAAGCUGACGUGGACUUCGUACACAACAAACGUGCGACUGAAUGUUAUUUCUUUACCAUGGGCCAUAGUGAUUGUCUUCAUGACAAAUUAAUUUAAUUUUUAAAUAUACUUAAUUUUCAUUGGG